AACGAACGCUGGCGGCAGGCUUAACACAUGCAAGUCGAACGCACCGCAAGGUGAGUGGCAGACGGGUGAGUAACACGUGGGGAUCUGCCCAAUGGUACGGAAUAGCUCCGGGAAACUGGAAUUAAUACCGUAUGAGCCCGCAAGGGGAAAGAUUUAUCGCCAUUGGAUGAACCCGCGUCGGAUUAGCUAGUUGGUGUGGUAAAGGCGCACCAAGGCGACGAUCCGUAGCUGGUCUGAGAGGAUGAUCAGCCACACUGGGACUGAGACACGGCCCAGACUCCUACGGGAGGCAGCAGUGGGGAAUAUUGGACAAUGGGCGCAAGCCUGAUCCAGCCAUGCCGCGUGAGUGAUGAAGGCCUUAGGGUUGUAAAGCUCUUUCGCCGACGAAGAUAGUGACGGUAGUCGGAGAAGAAGCCCCGGCUAACUUCGUGCCAGCAGCCGCCGUAAUAC
rnacentral:rRNA from 1 species